rnacentral:rRNA from 1 species
GACGAACGCUGGCGGCGUGCCUAAUACAUGUAAGUAGAACGCUGAAGGAGGAGCUUGCUUCUCUGGAUGAGUUGCGAACGGGUGAGUAACGCGUAGGUAACCUGCCUGGUAGCGGGGGAUAACUAUUGGAAACGAUAGCUAAUACCGCAUAAGAGUAGAUGUUGCAUGACAUUUGCUUAAAAGGUGCAAUUGCAUCACUACCAGAUGGACCUGCGUUGUAUUAGCUAGUUGGUGGGGUAACGGCUUACCAAGGCGACGAUACAUAGCCGACCUGAGAGGGUGAUCGGCCACACUGGGACUGAGACACGGCCCAGACUCCUACGGGAGGCAGCAGUAGGGAAUCUUCGGCAAUGGACGGAAGUCUGACCGAGCAACGCCGCGUGAGUGAAGAAGGUUUUCGGAUCGUAAAGCUCUGUUGUAAGAGAAGAACGAGUGUGAGAGUGGAAAGUUCACACUGUGACGGUAUCUUACCAGAAAGGGACGGCUAACUACGUG